CACGUAGGCACCAAGCGUUGUCCGGAUUUAUUGGGCGUAAAGAGCUCGUAGGCGGUUCAGUAAGUCGGGUGUGAAAACUUUGGGCUUAACCCAAAGCGUGCAUCCGAUACUGCUGUGACUUGAGUUCGGUAGGGGAGUGGGGAAUUCCUAGUGUAGCGGUGAAAUGCGCAGAUAUUAGGAGGAACACCGGUGGCGAAGGCGCCACUCUGGGCCGAAACUGACGCUGAGGUGCGAAAGCGUGGGGAGCAAACAGG
rnacentral:rRNA from 1 species